GCAUCAGUAGUGUAAUGGUAACACAAAAUUGUUUAAAUUUGAUUGUUGGUUCGAUUCCAAACUGAUGUA
rnacentral:tRNA from 1 species